rnacentral:rRNA from 1 species
UGANUCCAGCAAAUGCCGCGUGUGUNUUCCNAGGCCUUCGGGUUGUAAAGCACUUUUGUCCGGAAAGAAAUGGCGCUGGUUAAUACCUGGCGUCGAUGACGGUACCGGAAGAAUAAGCACCGGCUAACUACGUGCCAGCAGCCGCGGUAAUACGUAGGGUGCGAGCGUUAAUCGGAAUUACUGGGCGUAAAGCGUGCGCAGGCGGUUUGAUAAGACAGGCGUGAAAUCCCCGAGCUCAACUUGGGAAUGGCGCUUGUGACUGUCAGGCUAGAGUAUGUCAGAGGGGGGUAGAAUUCCACGUGUAGCAGUGAAAUGCGUAGAGAUGUGGAGGAAUACCGAUGGCGAAGGCAGCCCCCUGGGACGUCACUGACGCUCAUGCACGAAAGCGUGGGGAGCAAACAGGAUUAGAUACCCUGGUAGUCCACGCCCUAAACGAUGUCAACUAGUUGUUGGGGAUUCAUUUCUUCAGUAACGUAGCUAACGCGUGAAGUUGACCGCCUGGGGAGUACGGUCGCAAGAUUAAAACUCAAAGGAAUUGACGGGGACCCCCACAANCGGUGNAUGAUGUGGAAUUAAUUCGAUGCACCGCGAAAAACCUUAC